UAUGACUGUGGUUAUGGGACAAGUGGUGGUAUCUGUUCACGAUUUCAGCCUGUGCAUGUCUGUGUAAAAGUCUAGACUGUCAUUUCAACUGUCAGGAGUCCACGCAGAAUUCUUCUGUGGGGACAUUGGUGGUAGAAUCUUCAUGUUCUGAGGAGAUCCCAAGAACUUCUUCAAGAGAUCCCUGAAAUAGUCUCAGUAUCAGACAAUAAUGACUAGGCAGGCAAGAGAGGCAGCGAGACUGAGCUUUAGUGGUCAGCUGAAUUAGGAUGUGAGGAUAUGGCUCAAUGCCUCCAUUCACGCUCAAAACAAUAUUUGGAUUAUGUGAGAAAUGAUACACAAUAGAACAUGUAUGUAACCAGCUAGUAUCCUGAUUAGCACAGCUUGACAUCUCCAGAGGAACUGACCACAGGAUGGGGAUCAAACAAAGCUCCUGCAAGGCCCUGAGUAAGCAGGAAGGAAAGCUCUUCAUGCAGGAAAGCCUGGAAGUGAUCUUGACUACAACAAGGAGGAAAAUGAGGAAAGAUAUGUAAGCUGGGCGAGAUGCUGAAUAAUAGAAAAGGAGACUGGCUGAAAAAGAGUCCCAAACAGGCCUUCUCAAGUGAAUUGAUUGAUGUUGCCACUCGCAAGGUUGGUUCCAAAGGUUUGUAGCGUUGUUGCAAUACUUCAGCAGUAUCACGGAAGGGCCCCUGAUAGGUAUAGGAUAAGAUUUGCCAUUUCCACUGAAUCACAUAUUUGGAGGAAGCUUAUAAGCCUGGAGAUAAACAUUUUAGAAACAUCUAAUACAGACAGAAUGCAAAUUCAUUCACCUACAUGCAUUUGAGAAUUUAAAUAUCAAGGCUGAUGAGUACUAUGAUGAGUGAUUCUUACAAACAGCUCUGCCCUUCCAGUGAUUUUCAGCAUCCCAGGAGUUCUGGUUUAAGGGGAGAAAAAGCCUCUUUUAUGGGAAGAUCAGGACAGGAUAAG